CCUACGGGGGGCAGCAGUGGGGAAUAUUGGACAAUGGGGGGAACCCUGAUCCAGCCAUGCCGCGUGUGUGAAGAAGGCCCUCGGGUUGUAAAGCACUUUCAGUGAGGAAGAACGCCUGGUGGUUAAUACCCAUCAGGAAAGACAUCACUCACAGAAGAAGCACCGGCUAACUCCGUGCCAGCAGCCGCGGUAAUACGGAGGGUGCGAGUGUUAAUCGGAAUUACUGGGCGUAAAGCGCGCGUAGGUGGCUUGAUAAGCCGGUUGUGAAAGCCCCGGGCUCAACCUGGGAACGGCAUCCGGAACUGUCAAGCUAGAGUGCAGGAGAGGAAGGUAGAAUUCCCGGUGUAGCGGUGAAAUGCGUAGAGAUCGGGAGGAAUACCAGUGGCGAAGGCGGCCUUCUGGACUGACACUGACACUGAGGUGCGAAAGCGUGGGUAGCAAACAGGAUUAGAUACCCCGGUAGUC
rnacentral:rRNA from 1 species